rnacentral:rRNA from 1 species
AUUGAACGCUGGCGGCAGGCCUAACACAUGCAAGUCGAGCGAGCGGCGGACGGGUGAGUAAUGUAUGGGGACUGCCCGAUAGAGGGGGAUAACUACUGGAAACGGUGGCUAAUACCGCAUACUAUCGGAUAACCCAUAUGGGAUUAGCCAGUAGGUGGGGUAAAGGCUCACCUAGGCGACGAUCUCUAGCUGGUCUGAGAGGAUGACCAGCCACACUAGGACUAAGAAACGGACCAGAAACCUCGGGAGACAGCAAGGGGGAAUAUAGCGCAAUAGACGAAAGCCAGAUGCAGCCAUGCCGCGUGUAUGAAGAAGGCCUUAGGGUUGUAAAGUACUUUCAGCGGGGAGGCAUUACCCGCAGGAGAAGCACGGGAUAACACCGUGCCAGCAGCCGCGAUAAUUC